GGUCAAGUGAUAACGUUUCGUCUGUCGCCAAUCCUCCUCUAUCGCGUAGACUGAUGGUCCCGUAUUGCAGCUCAAUCCAUCUCCCUGCGCGCCGCCGCCGGAAGAAAUCCGCUCAUGGGCUGUAGCUCUCCGCACGCAUGACCAUCGGGAGGGGACGAACCCCGCACCCAAGGUGAGUGGCGCCGUCCAUCGGGAGGCCGGGAGAAGCCAGGAGGAACCCUGUUACCCGGCGAGAUGGGAAUUCAUCUUGGAGUCCCGACCUCAGGCGCUGCCUCGACUAUGCCGCCUCCCACCUCAGAGAUGGCCACGCGGACGGAAUACGUGGCGACGCUGGCCAUCAAGGCCGACCAGUCAUGCUCUUGGACCAGAUUUGCGUUGUCGGUCCCGGUGACCUCGGUCGUCGAGGCCAUUCUCAUCCCCGAUGGCCUUUGGAGAGUGCUUCUUAAACUGGCCAUGGAGAAGAAUGAGGAUAUAUCGAGGUUCAUCUUCUGCGAGGCAAGGCCAGUCAAUCCCAUACGGCCAGAAUUGCGUCUUUGAGGGAAAUGGGUCAGCCUGGUGGGGAUUUGGAUCCCAGUUCCACGGUUGAGGUGUUGGGGAGAAGAUGGGGACUUCAAUCGAUUUGUACGUUGACCCGAGUUGGUGACGCCGAUGGAUUCCAACCAAGUGAAUUGCCGUAUGAUUGUGUCUCUGAUUAAGAAAAAUUCCGCCCCGGAUGGUCGCCUGCAAUGUUUGCUGCCCUUACCCGCACUACAAUCAUGCUAUCUAUCUAGGCCAAGCCAAUACAGAGCAUCAACUUCGUUGAAUUUAUCAAAUGAUGAGCUGAUGCAGCCAGUUGAUGGAAUUCAUGCUGCUUCAGCAUUGGCAGCAUUGGCUACAGAAUAACUUUCUAAUUCACUACAGUAUCACAGAAAUUAAAUUACUUACGUGCAUAUGUAAAUCUAUCAGAAGGUGUUGGUGGUGCAUAUGUGUUUUACCUUACAUACAUAUGUAAAUCUAUCUGAAGGUCCUGAUGGUACAUAUGUGUUUUAGCUUACAUGCAAGUCCAUCUGAGAUGGCUUAUCUACUAUCUGAAGUGUGUUGGAUUGGGAGUUAUACCAAUGAAUAAUCUGGUUCAUGUUUCGGUGAUGUAGGAAACACAAAUUAAUAACUUUCAAACAUGGGUAGAACAUAAUUAUUCUGCUCAUGUAAGUGGGAAGAAAUAAAGCAUCUAAUUCGAUAUG